rnacentral:rRNA from 1 species
UACAGAGGGGGCAAGCGUUGUUCGGAAUUACUGGGCGUAAAGGGCGCGUAGGUGGCCUUCUAAGUCGAACGUGAAAUCCCUGGGCUCAACCCAGGAACUGCGUCCGAGACUGGGAGGCUUGAAUCCGGGAGAGGGAUGCGGAAUUCCAGGUGUAGCGGUGAAAUGCGUAGAUAUCGGGAGGAACACCUGAGGCGAAGGCGGGCUACUGGGCCGAUACUGACGCUGAUGUGCGAAAGCCAGGGGAGCGAACGGG